rnacentral:sRNA from 1 species
AUUUUAAGACGAAAGCUUGAAUGAGUACCGCAAUGUUUUUACCCGGACUUUUGGUGUUCGGCAUAAGUAAGUUAAGGCUGUAUAUUCUAAACUAUAUUUAUUUAAAAAAAAUAAUAUUUAUCCAUUUUCUUUUGCAGUAGCUGAACAAGCCACAGAACACUACGCACAAGUGUUUGAUCAUCCUUAUGCAUCGUGUCAGGACCCUCAACCGGAAGUGAUAUACAUUCCACCGGAAGGACAUAUAAAAUAUAUUCCAGAAUACACUAUUCUUCAUCGAUGUAGAAAUACAACCGGCUGUUGUUGGGACAAGUCUCAGACAUGCACCGUUAAAAAUCUGCAAAUCGUCACACGAACUUUCUUCGUGGUCGAUACGUUUUCUGAUGAUACCAUAUUACCAAACCAAGCUGAGCAGCUUUUCUUAACGAACCAUACAGUCGUGUCACUGUGAGCUGCUGAAUCCACAGCCAGGGUGUGACCAGCAGUGUCCAAGGCCGUUCCGCAAAAUUCGAACUGGAGACACGUGCGCGUGUGAUUGCCCAGGCGACCGUAAUUUAGAAUGUCUUGAGAUUAAAUGGGGGAUCGCACCUCUCAACACAGAUGGAUUCAAUUGUGUAAAAGAACACCGUUGUAUGGCGCCAAACUGCCAGUCGGGAAGGUUUGAUAUCAGGAAGGGAUUCUGUCCGGGAACAAAUGAACCUUACCCGCACCGGAAACGACGGAACGUGCAAAGGUAGAUGAUGACGUCACAGCGUGUUACUGCCUACCUCAUCACAAGACGUGGUCACGUGAUUCUUCAGUUUCAUUUAUUCAUAGAAAUGUGUUUCAUUUUACAAUUUAUUUAUUCUGUUCUUCAUCCAAAAAACUACGUUGUGAUGAGUCUAGUCAAAUGACAUGCGCGCAGAGCUAUAAAGUGCCAAAGUUUUCACGCGUCUGUGUGUGUGUGAUGUAGGAUACAGAUCCAGUCUGUCAAAUACAACAGGGUUUUUAGCCAAAAUCUGAAUUUAUAUUUAUCUAAUCAAGAAGAUGUUUGAUGGACUUUACGUACUUAUUUACCCAAACUUUAUCUGUGUUUCUUAAGGAAUCAGCGACUGGGUUCUAUUACGUCUGCUUUUAAACAAGCAACAUGUGUGUUAACUUUUGGAGAACACUGUCCGCACAGUCCCGUCACAAAUCGACGUCAUUAAGAUCAACUCUGGUUCAAGUCAGUCACGUGAUUUGUGUCUUCGACGGAUGGUUCGAUCUCAAAAUAAACAACACUGAAAAAGAAAGUAUCAAUGAAGUGAAAACUGUAAUUCUCCUCAUCGAUAUUAGAAGGAACAAUAUUAAUUUAUGUACAUGUAACAAUGACGUCAUAAUACGUUGAAUCUCCCUCUUCUAGUAGAAUGUAACUAUUUAUGUUAUAAACCAUGUAUAUUUUUGUUGUCUAUUUUGUGUAUUUAUGUAGCGUUAGUUUACACAUCUCAUUUGUAUUGGUGCACAUUUAUUUAUGAGUCAUAGAUUACAAAUUUUUCAUUAUUCAUUAACUUAUUCUUAAUUAAUGAACUGCUCGUUUACGUUGUAAUUUUGUGUAAUUAUACAUACUCAAGGAUUGUCAAAGGAUAUUUAAUGAAAGUUUUUUAUAGCUUUGAUACCUACAAAUGUGACAUCAAAACAAUUUAUCGAAACCCAAUGGGAUUCAAGUUCAUACAGAAAAACAGGUGUAAUGAUUCAUUGCAUGGUUCUGUAAAUUUUUACAAAUUUUGGCUCCGUGUUUUAUUAAAAACAUUGCAUAUGUGAUGCGAUAUACAAGUUCUCUUUCAUAUGUUUGAUAGUUUUUGAAAAUUAGUGCUCCCCCUUUUUUUGUUCUGUAACAUUUUCAAAUUAAAUCAACAUAAAGAAAUUAAAAUUUACUGUACAGAACUAGGUAUAAUAAUAGUAAAUGUUAAGGCACUUCCCAUUCCCCAUGAUGUUGAAUAAACGAUUCCUAUAUUG